rnacentral:rRNA from 1 species
UAAGGAAUAUUGGACAAUGGACGCAAGUCUGAUCCAGCCAUGCCGCGUGAAGGAUUAAGGCCCUCUGGGUUGUAAACUUCUUUUAUAGGGGACGAAAAAAGGGCUUUCUAGCUCGACUGACGGUACCCUGUGAAUAAGCACCGGCUAACUCCGUGCCAGCAGCCGCGGUAAUACGGAGGGUGCAAGCGUUAUCCGGAUUCACUGGGUUUAAAGGGUGCGUAGGCGGGCAGGUAAGUCAGUGGUGAAAUCUUCGAGCUUAACUCGGAAACUGCCAUUGAUACUAUUUGUCUUGAAUAUGGUGGAGGUGAGCGGAAUAUGUCAUGUAGCGGUGAAAUGCUUAGAUAUGACAUAGAACACCAAUUGCGUAGGCAGCUCACUACACCUAUAUUGACGCUGAGGCACGAAAGCGUGGGGAUCAAACAG